rnacentral:rRNA from 1 species
CACGUGAGUAAUCUGCCCUCGGCUGGGGAAUAACCAGGAGAAAUCCUGGCUAAUACCGCAUAACGCGGCACUGCAUAAGUGGUGUCGUUAAAGUGGCCCUGCUAUCGGCUGAGGAUGAGCUUGCGGCGGAUUAGCUUGUUGGUGGGGUAAAAGCCUACCAAGGCGACGAUCCGUAGCUGGUCUGAGAGGACGAUCAGUCACACUGGAACUGAGACACGGUCCAGACUCCUACGGGAGGCAGCAGUGGGGAAUAUUGCGCAAUGAGCGAAAGCUUGACGCAGCAACGCCGCGUGAGGGAAGAAUGCCCUAGGGUUGUAAACCUCUUUCGAUUGGGACGAAGGUUCACCUGUGAAUAUCUGUGUGGACUGACGGUACCUUUGGAAGAAGCCCCGGCUAACUACGUGCCAGCAGCCGCGGUAAUACGUAGGGGGCAAGCGUUGUCCGGAAUCAUUGGGCGUAAAGCGCGUGCAGGCGGCUUGCUAAGUCUGAUGUGAAAGCCCGGGGCUUAACCCCGGAACGUCAUUGGAUACUGGCAGGCUAGAGUCCGGAAGAGGAGAGCGGAAUUCCUAGUGUAGCGGUGAAAUGCGCAGAUAUUAGGAGGAACACCUACGGCGAAGGCAGCUCUCUGGUACGUGACUGACGCUGAGACGCGA